rnacentral:rRNA from 1 species
GAUGAACGCUGGCGGCGUGCCUAAUACAUGCAAGUCGAGCGAACAGACGAGGAGCUUGCUCCUCUGACGUUAGCGGCGGACGGGUGAGUAACACGUGGAUAACCUACCUAUAAGACUGGGAUAACUUCGGGAAACCGGAGCUAAUACCGGAUAAUAUAUUGAACCGCAUGGUUCAAUAGUGAAAGACGGUUUUGCUGUCACUUAUAGAUGGAUCCGCGCCGCAUUAGCUAGUUGGUAAGGUAACGGCUUACCAAGGCAACGAUGCGUAGCCGACCUGAGAGGGUGAUCCGGCCAAACGGAAACGAGAACACGUCCAGAACUCCAACGGGAGCAGGCGUAGGGAAUCUUCCGCAAUGGGCGAAAGCCUGACGGAGCAACGCCGCGUGAGUGAUGAAGGUCUUCGGAUCGUAAAACUCUGUUAUUAGGGAAGAACAAAUGUGUAAGUAACUAUGCACGUCUUGACGGUACCUAAUCAGAAAGCCACGGCUAACUACGUG